UACGGAGGGUGCUAGCGUUAAUCGGAAUUACUGGGCGUAAAGGACACGUAGGUGGUUCAUUAAGUUAGAUGUGAAAUCCCUGAGCUUAACUCAGGAACUGCAUUUAAUACUAAUGGACUAGAGUUUCGUGGAGGGAGGUAGAAUUCCAAGUGUAGCGGUGAAAUGCGUAGAUAUUUGGAGGAAUACCAGAGGCGAAGGCGACCUCCUAAACGAAUUCUGACACUGAGGUGUGAAAGCAUAGGGAGCAAACAGG
rnacentral:rRNA from 1 species